AUGAAGAACAAAGGUCCUGUACGUGAGGAAGUAAAGCAAUUUGGACCAUGGUUGAGAGCUUCAACCCCACACCCUUUUCGAAAGAGUGUGAUCCGGGUAGAAGGCUAUGAGGAGGAUUGUGAUCAUGAGGACACCUCUGACAGAUCGGAUGAGGUAAAUCACAGAGAUAAUACGAGGCUAGGAGAUACUCACGAAGAGAAAGAUGAGCAACACGAGGGCGGAAAGGAAGUUUCCGAUAGAGACACCGAGUUUCUGGGAACCACGGUGGUGCAACGGUCAGAUGAGGAAGAAACGGAAAUCACGGAGGUAAAUGCCCGUAAUAAUGAAGAUAUUAUGAUUGAGAUUAAUCGAAAGGCUGAUUUUCAGGCGCAGUUAGAGGAGAUUGACAGUGAGUUGGCAAGAUACGAUGAUAAGGGAGGAUUAAUGCAUGGAGAAUUAGCUGAAAGUCAGAACUUGGGUUUGCAUGGGCCUAAGUUAGUGGGCCUUCAUGGUUCACCAACAACGUGUGGGCCAAACUUAAAUGGAAAUUCUAAUGGACAGGGGGCUUCUAAUACAGGUCAAGUAAGGGGAAGAAGCAUUUAUAAAACUCGUGGGCUUCCUCGGCGUGAUAAGGUGGAGACCCAACAUGAGCCUAUCCUGUCAAAACGGCCUGUACGUGAUUUUUCUGAAGAUGAGGAAGCAGGUGUGCAUGGGAAGAAGAAGAAAACAGAGACAAAUAAUGCGACAACGGUGGAGGCUGGUUUUCAGCCCCGCCGAGCACAAUGAAUCUCUUAGCAUGGAACUGCCGGGGGCUUGGGAACUUCCGUGUAGAGAACGAGCUUGGUGAAAUUAUACAAGCUCAUGAUCCCGCGAUCGUGUUUCUCUCAGAGACAUGGUCUACAAAGGCACAAAUGAGAAGGAUUAGAGACAGACUGGAGUUUGCGGGUUUGUUCAUUAUUCCAAGUGAAGUGAUGACCGGGGAGGAGGACUAGCUCUCUUAUGGAAGAAUAAUGUUACAGUUUGGGUGGACAGUUUUUCAAAGUACCAUAUCGACGCCAUUGUGAACGGUGGGUCGAAAAAUGCGUGGAGGUUGACAGGCUUUUAUGGGGAGCCAGAAACAAGUCGACGUCAUGAAGGUUGGGCCAUGAUUCGCAUGCUCAGCUCUAAACCAAAACUACCUUGGUGUUGUUUUGGAGAUUUCAACGAGCUUCUUGAGGUGAAUGAUAAGCGUGGUGGAGCUCCACGAUCCCAUGCGCAAAUGCAAUCUUUUCGGGAUACUCUGGACAGUUGCGGAUUUGUGGACUUAGGAUUUUCAGGUCCUGAGUUUACUUGGCAUGGGCGACGGAGAGGGGAGAUGAUUUGGGAGAGAUUAGACUGUGGAGUUGCGAAUUAUGAAUGGAUGGCCAGAUUUCCCACAGGCAGAGUACAGCAUCUACACUGCUACACAUCUGACCAUAGACCGAUCUUGCUUUCUCUAGACUCAAAUGGUGAGCGGCAGAGGUGGCGAAGGAAGCCUUUUCGCUUCGAAUCUAUGUGGGUGACAGAUCCGAGUUGCAAAGCUACAGUUGCAGAAGCAUGGGCUGGUCCACGGAGAGGGACACCUAUGUUUAAUGUUACUACUAAGAUAAAGAAUUGCAAGAAGCGGUUAAAGAGAUGGAGCAAAGAAACAUUUGGGAAUGUCAAGGAACAAAUAAGGGUGGUUAAAGAAAGAUUAUGGCUGGCAGAGGCAGAAUCUUUACAAAGUGGUGACCAAGGGUUAGUAGACAACCUUAAGGCCAACUUGCACAAUUUACUGGAGAAAGAAGAAAAAAUGUGGCAUCAACGUUCAAGGGUUCAAUGGCUUCAAUGUGGGGACAAAAACACAAGGUUUUUCCAUGGUACUGCUACCUGUAGGAAGAGACAAAAUUUCAUUAAGGGGCUUAGGGAUGAAUUUGGAAUUUGGCAAAGUGAGGAGCAUAGCUUUUCGAGAUUGCUCACAGAUUAUUAUGAAAAGCUUUUCACAUCAUCAAAUCCACAUGAUAUGGACCGUAUAGUGGAUGGGGUUCAGGAGGUGGUGACAGAUUCCAUGAAUGCAGAGUUGACUAAACCAUACACAGCAGAUGAGGUGGAAAAGGCGAUAAAGGAGAUGGCGCCUUUAAAAGCUCCAGGCCCAGACGGGAUGCCUCCACUGUUUUACCAAACUUAUUGGUCAGAUGUAGGUAUGGAUACUACCCAGGCUGUUCUAUCAUGCUUGAAUUCUGGAUCCAUUUUGAAAUCUAUCAAUCACACUUUUAUAACUUUAAUCCCUAAAGUUCGUAAUCCGGAAACUGUGACUGAAUUUAGACCAAUCAGUUUGUGUAAUCUUCUAUACAAAAUUGUGAGCAAGGUGAUUGCUAAUCGCCUUAAACCCCUGCUAAAUUCUAUUAUCUCUGAUACACAGAGUGCUUUUAUAGCUGACCGGCUUAUAGCUGACCGGCUUAUCACUGACAAUAUCCUUAUUGCCUUUGAGUCUUUGCAUCAUAUGAAAAUGAAUUGUACAGAGAAGACAGGUUUUAUGGCACUCAAGUUAGAUAUGAGCAAGGCCUAUGAUAGGGUGGAGUGGUCGUUCCUUGAGAAAAUAAUGUUGAAGAUGGGUUUUCAGGAGUCUUGGGUGGAUCUGAUCCUGGAGUGUAUUUCCACAGUUACUUAUUCUAUCCUGGUGAAUGGGGAACCAAAAGGUUUGAUAAAUCCGUCAAGGGGUUUGAGGCAAGGUGACCCUCUUUCACCUUAUCUCUUCCUGUUUUGUGCAGAGGGACUGAAUGCUAUUCUUCAGAAAUCAGCAGAGAAUGGUGAAAUAAAAGGCUUUUAGGAUACUACCCAGGCUGUUCUAUCAUGCUUGAAUUCUGGAUCCAUUUUGAAAUCUAUCAAUCACACUUUUAUAACUUUAAUCCCUAAAGUUCGUAAUCCGGAAACUGUGACUGAAUUUAGACCAAUCAGUUUGUGUAAUGUUCUAUACAAAAUUGUGAGCAAGGUGAUUGCUAAUCGCCUUAAACCCCUGCUAAAUUCUAUUAUCUCUGAUACACAGAGUGCUUUUAUAGCUGACCGGCUUAUCACUGACAAUAUCCUUAUUGCCUUUGAGUCUUUGCAUCAUAUGAAAAUGAAUUGUACAGGGAAGACAGGUUUUAUGGCACUCAAGUUAGAUAUGAGCAAGGCCUAUGAUAGGGUGGAGUGGUCGUUCCUUGAGAAAAUAAUGUUGAAGAUGGGUUUUCAGGAGUCUUGGGUGGAUCUGAUCCUGGAGUGUAUUUCCACAGUUACUUAUUCUAUCCUGGUGAAUGGGGAACCAAAAGGUUUGAUAAAUCCGUCAAGGGGUUUGAGGCAAGGUGACCCUCUUUCACCUUAUCUCUUCCUGUUUUGUGCAGAGGGACUGAAUGCUAUUCUUCAGAAAUCAGCAGAGAAUGGUGAAAUAAAAGGCUUUUCAAUCUGUAGAAAUGGGCCAAAACUUACUCAUUUAUUCUUUGCAGAUGACUGCCUUUUGUUCUGUAGAUCUACUCUGGAGGAAUGUGAGAAGAUUAAGGAGUUAUUAGCAUAUUAUGAAGAGGCCUCGGGUCAGAUGGUGAAUAGGGACAAAACCACUCUGUUUUUUAGUAAGAAUACAGAAGUACCAGUACAAGAAGCAAUAAAAAUUUCUCUUGGUGUUCCCGCAAUUCAACACUAUGAGAAAUAUUUGGGUUUACCUUCUUUCAUUGGUAGAAAUAAGAAGGCAUGCUUUACACAAAUCAAGGAACGAGUUUGGGCCAAGAUGCAAGGUUGGAAGGAGAAGUUACUCUCACAAGCAGGGAAGGAGAUCAUGAUUAAGGCUGUUGUUCAAUCUAUCCCUACUUAUUCCAUGAGUGUUUUCAAAAUACCAUUGGGAUUGUGUAAGGAUAUUGAAGCCAUGAUUCGCAAAUUUUGGUGGGGUCAAGGUGAAAAUAGGAAGAUCCAUUGGAUUAAUUGGAGUACUCUGUGUAAUGCAAAAUCAGUGGGUGGAAUGGGUUUUAGGGAUAUUCAAAGGUUUAAUAAAGCCAUGCUAGCUAAGCAAGUUUGGCGCCUUUUUCACCAAAGAGAUACUUUGUUAUUCCGAGUUUUCAGUGCAAAAUAUUUUCCUAAUGGAAACAUUUUAGAUGCCCCUAUUCAUACCAAGUGUUCAUAUGCUUGGAAGAGUAUUAUGCAAGCACGAGAAGUCAUUCAUAAAGGAGCUGUUUGGCGAGUGGGUAAUGGCCAAUCAAUCGACAUUUGGAACCACAGAUGGCUGACUGAAACCAUUCCGGGGCUGAUUGUGUCUCCUAGACCCGAAGAAAACCUUCAUAAGGUUAGUGAGUUGUUUCUUCCUAACUCUAGACAAUGGAAUCUGGAACUUAUUGAUGAUGUGUUCUAUCCUUGGGAAGCGGAUGCGAUUAAAGGGAUUUAUAUUAGAGAAGAUAGCAGUGAAGAUAAUCUCAUAUGGCCCUUAACUCCAAAUGGCGAGUACUCUGUUCGUAGUGCUUAUCAGUUGUUGUCGAGUUCCACUAUGAAUUCCACUGCUAGUUCAUCAUCUUCAAAGGGUUUCAAAGGGGUGUGGAAAGGGAUUUGGAAAAUCCGGGUACCGAACCGUGUUCGUCACUUAAUGUGGAGGGCAGUAAAGGACUCGCUACCAACGAAACUCAAUCUGCACCAACGACACGUAGUGGGGGAAGCUCUUUGCCCUCUCUGUGAUGACACUCAGGAAUCAAUCUUACACAGCCUGUGGUAUUGUGAGCAAGCCCAAGUAAUGUGGCGGUCCAUAAGGAGUUUUGCGCCAAUGUAUGAGAAACAUCAAAGUACCUUCAUGGAUCUAUUUGAAGGUGUUUUGCUGCAGAAUUCAAGCUUCCAUAUUGCAUGGUUUGCAACCAUUGCAUGGUGUUUAUGGCAAAGGCGUAAUAGACUACGUGAGCACCAACCUACGUGGCCACUGUUGGAAGUUGGACAACGAGCACGUACCCUGGUGGAGGAAUUUUUUGAUGCGCAGAAACAGGGCUUGACAACGUCUACCAGUCAACCUCCAGUUCGAUGGACACCACCUCCAGAAACUAUGUACAAAGAGAACUUUGAUGCAGCCGUGUUUCAGCAUUUGGGUAUGGCUGGUUUGGGCGUGGUUUUUCGCGAUUCAGGUGGUAAUGUCAUAGCAGCUCUAAGCCAAAAGAUUCAGCUUCCCAACAAGAUAGAACUGGCGGAAGCAUUGGCAGCUAAACGGGCAGUCACUCUUGCAGCAGAACUGAGCAUUUUCAAGGUCAUGAUUGAGGGAGAUUGCAUGCAGGUUGUACGGGCUUUGAAUGAUCAUGGUAGAUGCCUUACUAUGUACGGUCAUGUGAUUGAGGAGACUCGACGAUUGGGCUCCUGUUUGGAAUCAUGUAGUUUCCAUCAUGUAAAGAGGGAGGGAAAUAAGUUAGCGCAUUCCCUUGCUCGUAGAGCAGUUUCAUCUGCAGAUAUGGAUGUUUGGGUGGAAGAACUACCCGAGGACCUGGAGGCUGUAUUUCAGGGUGAUUUUGUUUUGUGACUUGUAAAAGUGAUUUCUAGAUUAAUAAAAUUCCUCUUACCUUUUUCUCAAAAAAAAAAAAAAAAAAAGAAAGAACAUAAAUCCAAAAAAAGAAAAAUCAUUUCUCUUAUGUAAAUACCAUUUCAACUAUUUCCCAAUAGUCUUAAUAAAAUAUGUGUUGUUUAUUUAUAACUUCUACUCCAACGACAACUCUAACCCCAACGUGACUCUAUUUAGUAUUUUUUGUUUUUUCCUAUCUUUUAUCUCCAACAACUACUCUAACCCCAUCGUUAUUCUAUUUAGUAUUGUUGUUGUUGUUGUUGUUGUUGUUUUUUUAUCAUGUAAAGAGGGAGGGAAAUAAGUUAGCGCAUUCCCUUGCUCGUAGAGCAGUUUCAUCUGCAGAUAUGGAUGUUUGGGUGGAAGAACUACCCGAGGACCUGGAGGCUGUAUUUCAGGGUGAUUUUGUUUUGUGACUUGUCAAAGUGAUUUCUAGAUUAAUAAAAUUCCUCUUACCUUUUUCUCAAAAAAAAAAAAAAAUAUAUAUAUAUAUAUAUAUUAAACUCGUCGCUAACCCGUGCUAUUCAAGGGAACUUACCAAUUUAUGAGUUAGAUUAAAUUAAUUUUAUAAAAUCUUAAAGUCAUUAAAAAACUACACCAUUGCAUGAUGCUCUUGUAUGACUUUAAUUUAUGUUACAAUUUGAUGAAAAAGUCAUUACUUGAAUGUGCAAUGGCUUACAAAAAAUUUGUCAGAAAAUUUCAGAUACUGCAAAAAAAUAAAUCAAAAAUUUAGAUAUUAAAACUUCUGAAAGACCAAAAAAUAUUAAACAAUCAAAUGAUUCACGACUUAGAAAUUAUUGAAACAAAACAAAAUAUAUAUGACUAAAUAAUAGAGAAAUAUAAGAGAAAGAUGGGUGUUGAUGCCCAUUUUUGACAAAGGACCCAAUAGUAGAAGAAAACCAACAAUAGAGAAUGUGAGAAGGAAAAAAGGGUACAGAAAUAAGAGAACAUGCUCAAUGGGUUGAAACAGCAAGAUUGAUGGCCAGCAGGCCCACAAGAAUAAAAAGAGGUAAAGAAGAAAUAAAUGGGUCAAGGAAUCCAAUGAAUGAAGUAGUAAGUCCAUGGGAAUAAUAAGAGGUAAAGAGAAAGAAAAUGGGUAUGAGAAACCCAAGAAAUGAAUUAGUAAACUCAAUGGGUUGGCUUGAAGGCCAAUAAGCUCGAAAAGUGAUAAGAGGUAAAGAUGUGGUAAUUGGGGUGAAAAAGCCCAAAGAAUUUAGCAAAAAACCCAUGGGAAUAAAAAAAGGUAAAUGGGCCAAGGAAGCCCAAGGAAUGAGGUAGUGAAAUGGGCUAGCACAGCAGAAAUGUUGGUCAACAAAGUCCAAAAGAGGUAAAGAAGUGGAAAGUGAGCCAAAGAAGCCCUGAGCAAAAGAUUGAUGAAGAAGUGGACUGA
rnacentral:sRNA from 1 species